rnacentral:rRNA from 1 species
GUGGGGAAUAUUGGACAAUGGGCGCAAGCCUGAUCCAGCAAUGCCGCGUGGGUGAAGAAGGUCUUCGGAUCGUAAAGCCCUUUCGACAGGGACGAUGAUGACGGUACCUGUAGAAGAAGCCCCGGCUAACUUCGUGCCAGCAGCCGCGGUAAUACGAAGGGGGCUAGCGUUACUCGGAAUUACUGGGCGUAAAGGGCGCGUAGGCGGCUCUGUUAGUCAGGCGUGAAAUUCCUGGGCUUAACCUGGGGAGUGCGCUUGAUACUGCAGGGCUUGGGGGCGAGAGAGGGUGGUGGAAUUCCCAGUGUAGAGGUGAAAUUCGUAGAUAUUGGGAAGAACACCGGUGGCGAAGGCGACCACCUGGCUCGGUUCUGACGCUGAGGCGCGACAGCGUGGGGAGCAAACAGGAUUAGAAACCCGUGUAGUCC